AGAAAAUGUAUGAUGAUUCAGGAUGUGGUCAUUUGUGACAGUAAAACAGGAAUUGUCAUCACCAAUAGACGAAUUUCACAUUCCUAAGAGUUUCCUCCAAUUGUCGGCGUAUCGCUCAUUUUCCCCACUUUGUCCUUUGUCCUGUUCUGUGGAUGCCCUUAGACAGUGUCUACCCAUCACUCCAUCUGAAAUCACUCGUUCUGUGCAUAUUUCUCUCUCAAAC